rnacentral:lncRNA from 12 species
CAUGCUAAUUUCUUUGCCUUCUCUCUCUCUCUGGCUCACUCCACCCCGCUUCACCAACCCCCGUUUCCCCCAAGAAACGAGGCACCCUCUGGGCCGUGGAAGGUGCCUGGCGGGGAGCGGCGACGCCGGAAGACCGAGGGCAGAGCGUGCGGUGCCCACACCCUUGACCGCGGGGUGAGUGCGGGCGGCCGCGGCCGGCGCGGGAGAGGGGAGCGGGUUAGGGGCGCGGGGUCUGGGCGGAACCCCGCCCCCCCCCGCCCGGAUCCGGGGAGCGGCGACUCGAGGCCCGGGGCCCGCAGCCCCCGGCUGCGCCCGGGCGGGCGGGGGGCGGAGCGCGCGCUGCGCGGGGCGGCGGGAAAGGGGCGGGGAGGACAGCUCUGGCUCGGGCGGGCCGCGGGCCGGUGGCAGAACCUGCGGGCUAGGUGGGAGGCUCACCCUCGCGGAGGAGAGGAAGCGAGGACCGCACGGCUGGGGAGCGAGGAGACGUGUGGAGUCCGGGGCUCGGGCCGCCUCCACCUCCUCCUGCGGCGGACGCGGCGCGGCGGGCGGCGCACCGGCCGCGUCGGCUACCCUGCGCGCAGGUGGGCACCCCCGAGCGCGGCGCUCUGCCCCCUCCGGAGCCGCCGCGGGUCGGAUGCCCUGGCGUCCAGGCCACCGAGCUCGGGGGCGAGGGCCGGGUGGGUCCGGGGGCAGCGGGAAGGUGCGCGGCCCCUCGGUGUGCACGCUGGUGCGCGCGCGCUGUGCGAGGUGGGGAAGAGGUGCGGAGAAGCUGCCUCCCUGGGGAUUCUCCCCCUCGGGUCUCAGCCCCCACCCCCGCCGCUUUCUCGGGAGCGGAGCCCCGGGGCGGCUUUGAAGGACGGCGACCGCCCCCCGCCCCCCAUCUCGGUGGUGCGUGCGGGUCUCUCUUCUUCGCCGUCUACACCUAGCAACCAUCCGGAGGCCGCCGCUCUGGGCCCUCGGGACUGCAGGAAGCCGGGGAGACGCGAGAGUGGCGUGGCGGGGGACCCGCCGGGGCGCGUGCGGGGAAGGCAGGAGUUGCUGGAGUAUUGUCUGCCCGCCGGGUGCCCGAGCCCGCGCGCUCGCUGGCGCUUUCAGGGCCGGAGUGGGGGGGAAGGAGGACAGUGGCUCGAGGAGACUGGAUUUUCUUGGAUUUGCGGCAACUCUGAAAACCCGAGCAGGCUUCCCGGGCGUUAA